AGUUUAACGAGAUAUUGGUCCGGUUCAAUUAGAAAGCAGUGCUUAUGUGCUUCAAGCUCUGCUCUUUGAUUGAGCCGUGCCAAUAUCACGUAGCUCUGG
rfam:Nelumbo nucifera unplaced genomic scaffold scaffold00129, whole genome shotgun sequence